UGGAUUAUGAAUUUUUCUUCAUGAAUUAACUUUUCAUUCUCUCUUUUAUUGUUUAAGGGUAUUGUUGGCUUAGAGACAGAACAUGGUACUCUUCAUAUCAAGCUUUUCCCUGAUUGUUCUCCACUUUCAGUCAAAUACAUCCUAGAGUUGUUGGCAGUACGCCAUUGUGCAGGUUGCCAUUUCUAUCGAGCAGAAAGUCGUGGUCAAUCUUGGGAUGCAAAAGGAAAACACAUCGAAGAUGCUUCCUUUGGUCCUCCAUUUGCUCUUGUUCAAGGAACACUUGAUGCCCAAGGAAUGACAUUCAAUAAAAUCCCGUCAGAGUACUGCCCUACCAUAAGAAGAGGAUCAGUAGCAUGGGUUGGCUCUGGUCCUGAAUUCUUCAUAAGCUUGGCAAAUCACGAAGAAUGGAAAAAUUCAUACACCGUAUUUGGUUCUGUACUUCCCGAAGACUUGAUGAUAGCAGAGAAAAUUGCUCAGCUUCCAAAAAAAUCGGAUGUUUGGAACAACAUUAAUGUGUCAGUUUUAGAAAACCCUGUACCUCUAAGGAUUCAAAGAAUGAAGAUUAGUGUGUCGUAAACUUGUAACUAGUUAUAUGCCAAUAAGAAGAUAUCUGAAUUGAGUUUAACUGAUACUUUUUGUAUGAUGUAUUAUAGGUUUCGUUCCAUGGUUCUGCUUUUUGUCUUUGUUGUACCAUCGUUUAUUCGAGUUUUGUAAAUAUAACAAUGCAAAUGUAUGUUAUUACCUUUUUGAAGUUGAAGUUGAAGCAUUAUGCAACAGUUGCAGAACAA